GACGAACGCUGGCGGCGUGCUUAACACAUGCAAGUCGAACGGAAAGGCCCUGCUUUUGUGGGGUGCUCGAGUGGCGAACGGGUGAGUAACACGUGAGUAACCUGCCCUUGACUUUGGGAUAACUUCAGGAAACUGGGGCUAAUACCGGAUAGGAGCUCCUGCUGCAUGGUGGGGGUUGGAAAGUUUCGGCGGUUGGGGAUGGACUCGCGGCUUAUCAGCUUGUUGGUGGGGUAGUGGCUUACCAAGGCUUUGACGGGUAGCCGGCCUGAGAGGGUGACCGGCCACAUUGGGACUGAGAUACGGCCCAGAAUCCUACGGGAGGCAGCAGGGGGGAAUAUGGCACAAUGGGCGGAAGCCUGAUGCAGCAACGCCGCGUGCGGGAUGACGGCCUUCGGGUUGUAAACCGCUUUCGCCUGUGACGAAGCGUGAGUGACGGUAAUGGGUAAAGAAGCACCGGCUAACUACGUG
rnacentral:rRNA from 1 species